AUUAGAUAUGAGAAUGAGCAAUUGUGUUAAUGGGUAAUUUGCAUAUGAAUUUCAUUGAUGUUAAUAUCUCCUUGGAGAACUGAUGCCCCUA